rnacentral:misc_RNA from 1 species
GUUGGUGAACCAGCGGAGGGAUCAUUACCGAGUUGCAAAACUCCCAAACCCAACUGUCUACUUAUACCGAAAAACGUUUGCUUCGGCGGGCGGCCCCAGGGCGGGGCCGACGCUGGCGCUCGCGCGCCGCGCCCGCCGGAGGGAACAACCCCAAACUCUUGUUGUUUCAGUAGAACUCUGAGCCUAUAAACAAUAGUCAAAACUUUCAACAACGGAUCUCUUGGUUCUG